rnacentral:rRNA from 1 species
CUGAUGCAGCAACGCCGCGUGAGGGAUGACGGCCUUCGGGUUGUAAACCUCUUUUAGCAGGGAAGAAGCGAAAGUGACGGUACCUGCAGAAAAAGCGCCGGCUAACUACGUGCCAGCAGCCGCGGUAAUACGUAGGGCGCAAGCGUUAUCCGGAAUUAUUGGGCGUAAAGAGCUCGUAGGCGGUUUGUCGCGUCUGCUGUGAAAUCCCGAGGCUCAACCUCGGGUCUGCAGUGGGUACGGGCAGACUAGAGUGCGGUAGGGGAGAUUGGAAUUCCUGGUGUAGCGGUGGAAUGCGCAGAUAUCAGGAGGAACACCGAUGGCGAAGGCAGAUCUCUGGGCCGUAACUGACGCUCAGGAGCGAAAGGGUGGGGAGCAAACAGGCUUAGAUACCCUGGUAGUCCACCCCGUAAACGUUGGGAACUAGUUGUGGGGACCAUUCCACGGUUUCCGUGACGCAGCUGACGCAUUAAGUUCCCCGCCUGGGGAGUACGGCCGCAAGGCUAAUACUCAAAGGAAUUGACGGGGACCCGCACAAGCGGCGGAGCAUGCGGAUUAAUUCAAUGCAACGCGAAGAACCUUACCAAGGCUUGACAUAUACCAGAACGGGCCAGAAAUGGUCAACUCUUUGGACACUC